rnacentral:rRNA from 1 species
AUUGAACGCUGGCGGCAGGCCUAACACAUGCAAGUCGAGCGGAUGAAGGGAGCUUGCUCCUGGAUUCAGCGGCGGACGGGUGAGUAAUGCCUAGGAAUCUGCCUGGUAGUGGGGGAUAACGUCCGGAAACGGGCGCUAAUACCGCAUACGUCCUGAGGGAGAAAGUGGGGGAUCUUCGGACCCCACGCUAUCAGAUGAGCCUAGGUCGGAUUAGCUAGUUGGUGGGGUAAAGGCCUACCUAGGCGACGAUCCGUAACUGGUCUGAGAGGAUGAUCAGUCACACUGGAACUGAGACACGGUCCAGACUCCUACGGGAGGCAGCAGUGGGGAAUAUUGGACAAUGGGCGAAAGCCUGAUCCAGCCAUGCCGCGUGUGUGAAGAAGGUCUUCGGAUUGUAAAGCACUUUAAGUUGGGAGGAAGGGCAGUAAGUUAAUACCUUGCUGUUUUGACGUUACCAACAGAAUAAGCACCGGCUAACUUCGUG